CGACCUCAGGUCAGGCGGGGCUACCCGCUGAGUUUAAGCAUAUCAAUAAGCGGAGGAAAAGAAACUAACAAGGAUUCCCCUAGUAACGGCGAGCGAACCGGGAAACGCCCACCAUGAGAAUCGGGCGCUUGCGUCCGAAUUGUAGUCAAA
rnacentral:rRNA from 1 species